GUACACGCUGUGACUAGCAUAUCAAUAAGCGGAGGAAAAGAAACUAACAAGGAUUCCCCUAGUAACGGCGAGUGAAGCGGGAAGAGCUCAAAUUUGAAAUCUUCAAGGGUUUACCUUUACGAAUUGUAGUUUAAAGAAGUGUUUUCUGUUGAGGUUUUGGUAAAAGUUCUUUGGAAUAGGACAUCAUAGAGGGUGAGAAUCCCGUAUUUGACCAUUAUUUUCAACUGUGUGAUACACUUUCAAAGAGUCGGAUUGUUUGGGAAUGCAGUCCAAAAUGGGUGGUAAAUUUCAUCUAAAGCUAAAUAUUGGCGAGAGACCGAUAGCGAACAAGUACCGUGAGGGAAAGAUGAAAAGAACUUUGAAAAGAGAGUUAAACAGUACGUGAAAUUGUCAAAAGGGAAGCGUUUGACACCAGUGUUGUUUUUCUGAAAAUCAAUUAAAGAACUGUUUAUGCUAAGCUGUUUAGACUUUAUCAGCUAUACUGUUUAGUUUUGAGCUUUUCUUUAAUGCACUUUUCAGUUAACAAGUCAACAUCAAUUUCUUUUGCUGUAAAAAAGCUUGAGGAAGGUGGCUUGAGAUUCGUCUUAAGUGUUUAUAGCCUCUUGCCUAUGCAGUCGGAGAGAUUGAGGUCUGCAGCGUAGAUCCUUCGGGGCUAAAUGCAUUUGUGCUAAGUUAUAGCAUUUUAUAGACAACUUGUUGACUAUAAUUAGUCUUGUAGCUUACUCGCUUAUGCUAUUUUACCUACGCUUAGGAUGUUGAACUACUGAGACAUAG
rnacentral:rRNA from 1 species